rnacentral:pre_miRNA from 1 species
CUCGGAGAGGGGAGUCCCUCAGCCAGGAUUGUGAGAAGGUGCAGGCCAGGCCAAGGGGCCCCACUGGUGCACG